rnacentral:rRNA from 1 species
GACGAACGCUGGCGGCGUGCCUAAUACAUGCAAGUAGAACGCUGAAGGAGGAGCUUGCUUCUCUGGAUGAGUUGCGAACGGGUGAGUAACGCGUAGGUAACCUGCCUGGUAGCGGGGGAUAACUAUUGGAAACGAUAGCUAAUACCGCAUAAUAGUAGAUGUUGCAUGACAUUUGCUUAAAAGGUGCAAUUGCAUCACUACCAGAUGGACCUGCGUUGUAUUAGCUAGUUGGUGGGGUAACGGCUCACCAAGGCGACGAUACAUAGCCGACCUGAGAGGGGGGUCCGCCCACCUUGGACCGGGGACAGGCCCAAACUCCCUCGGGGGGCAGCCGUAGGGAAUCUUCGGCAAUGGACGGGAGUCUGACCGAGCAACGCCGGGUGGGUGAAGAAGGGUUUCGGGUCGGAAAGGUCUGUUGUAAGGGAAGAACGAGUGUUGGAGUGGAAAGUUCACACUGUGACGGUAUCUUAACAAAAAGGGACGGCUAACUUCGUG